rnacentral:rRNA from 1 species
GGAAACGGGGCUAAYCCGGAUAUGACYCCGACCGCAUGGUCUGGUGGUGGAAAGCUCCGGCGGUGCAGGAUGAGCCCGCGGCCUAUCAGCUUGUUGGUGGGGUGAUGGCCUACCAAGGCGACGACGGGUAGCCGGCCUGAGAGGGCGACCGGCCACACUGGGACUGAGACACGGCCCAGACUCCUACGGGAGGCAGCAGUGGGGAAUAUUGCACAAUGGGCGAAAGCCUGAUGCAGCGACGCCGCGUGAGGGAUGACGGCCUUCGGGUUGUAAACCUCUUUCAGCAGGGAAGAAGCGCAAGUGACGGUACCUGCAGAAGAAGCGCCGGCUAACUACGUG